rnacentral:lncRNA from 10 species
UACUUGUGUAGGAGCUGCGACAGUAACCAACUCAUCCUGCCCUACUCACAGUAUAGCAUCUUUAGGCAUUGACUACAAUCAGCCAAGUCACCGGCUGAGGGGAAGAACAAGAACCAACCUUGAACUAUGAUCUAAGACAAGGAUAGUUUCUCACCAUUCCCUCAGCUAUAUUUACAUAUGGCUGCUGCAAUGGUCUCCAGGUACAAUGAGACGAAGACUUACAAUAAAGAAUGUCAACUGAAGGAAAUGAAGAAGUAAAUAACCAGACAUAAUUGGCCCCUACUGCCCUCCCCUUGGCAGGAGCACAGACUGCAGAGAUUGAGUUCCCCCAGGAGCACACAAGCUGGACUGUACCUAAGGUCCUAAAACAUAUUGGUGAUAUGGAAGGUAGACAAAAUGGCCAAAUAGAAGCCUUCACCCAUUGUUCUCCCUGCAGAAACACUAAAUUGAACAACUAUCCACACAUAAAUCACCUUCAUAUGAAGCAAAAAUCAGGUG